rnacentral:rRNA from 1 species
GAUGAACGCUGGCGGCGUGCCUAAUACAUGCAAGUCGAGCGAACAGACGAGGAGCUUGCUCCUCUGAUGUUAGCGGCGGACGGGUGAGUAACACGUGGAUAACCUACCUAUAAGACUGGGAUAACUUCGGGAAACCGGAGCUAAUACCGGAUAACAUGUUGAACCGCAUGGUUCAACAGUGAAAGACGGUCUUGCUGUCACUUAUAGAUGGAUCCGCGCCGCAUUAGCUAGUUGGUAAGGUAACGGCUUACCAAGGCAACGAUGCGUAGCCGACCUGAGAGGGUGAUCGGCCACACUGGAACGGAGACACGGUCCAGACUCCUACGGGAGGCAGCAGUAGGGAAUCUUCCGCAAUGGGCGAAAGCCUGACGGAGCAACGCCGCGUGAGUGAAGAAGGUCUUCGGAUCGUAAAACUCUGUUAUUAGGGAAGAACAAAUGUGUAAGUAACUAUGCACGUCUUGACGGUACCUAAUCAGAAAGCCACGGCUAACUACGUG